rnacentral:rRNA from 1 species
UACGUAGGCAGCAAGCGUUGCUCGGAAUUACUGGGCGUAAAGCGCACGUAGGCGGUCUUUUAAGUCGGGGGUGAAAUCCUGGAGCUCAACUCCAGAACUGCCUUCGAUACUGGAAGACUCGAGUCCGGGAGAGGUGAGUGGAACUGCGAGUGUAGAGGUGAAAUUCGUAGAUAUUCGCAAGAACACCAGUGGCGAAGGCGGCUCACUGGCCCGGUACUGACGCUGAGGUGCGAAAGCGUGGGGAGCAACAGG